CCGAGUUAUACAACUCAUCAACCCUGUGAACAUACCUAUAACGUUGCCUCGGCGGGAACAGACGGCCCCGUAACACGGGCCGCCCCCGCCGGAGGACCCCCUAACUCUGUUUCUAUAAUGUUUCUUCUGAGUAAACAAGCAAAUAAAUUA
rnacentral:misc_RNA from 1 species